AGCGAACGCUGGCGGCAGGCCUAACACAUGCAAGUCGAACGGACCCUUCGGGGUUAGUGGCGGACGGGUGGGUAACACGUGGGAACGUGCCUUUAGGUUCGGAAUAGCUCCUGGAAACGGGUGGUAAUGCCGAAUGUGCCCUUCGGGGAAAGAUUUAUCGCCUUUAGAGCGGCCCGCGUCUGAUUAGCUUGUUGGUGGGGUAAUGGCCCACCAAGGCUACGAUCAGUAGCUGGUCUGAGAGGAUGACCAGCCACAUUGGGACUGAGACACGGCCCAAACUCCUACGGGAGGCAGCAGUGGGGAAUCUUGCGCAAUGGGCGAAAGCCUGACGCAGCCAUGCCGCGUGUAUGAUGAAGGUCUUAGGAUUGUAAAAUACUUUCACCGGUGAAGAUAAUGACUGUAGCCGGAGAAGAAGCCCCGGCUAACUUCGUGCCAGCAGCCGCGGUAAUACGAAGGGGGCUAGCGUUGCUCGGAAUUACUGGGCGUAAAGGGAGCGUAGGCGGACAUUUAAGUCAGG
rnacentral:rRNA from 1 species